rnacentral:lncRNA from 1 species
CCCUCUGAGCUCUCCGAGAGAUUGGUCGGGACCUGAAGCGUUGAGGUUAAGGGCAAGGCAAGGAGCAACGAGGAGUUUUUCGUUACGUUAGAAAAAUUUCGUUGCGUGCUGAAGCGCUUUUACCUGUGUUGUAUGAUUUAACCUUAUGAAAAUGGACAGUAUUCCAGUUUUACAAGUGAGGAAAGAAGAUUAAGAAACUUGCCUCCGCCAGGCGUGGUGGUUCACUCCUGUAAUCCCAGCACUUUCGGCGGCGAGGCAGGCGGAUCACUUGAGGUGUUCUAGAAGUCCCAAAUGAUUCCUCAGCCUGUCAAAA